AGCCCUAUUGCAAAGGUUGGAGAGAGCAAACCGGAUUCAUAGCCCCAUCAAACAAAGAAGGGCGUGCCAACUAAAACAAAGAGGAAACGGCCACAAUCGCUUAUGCAGAAAAGCGAACACAUUCACUAAAUUGAAAACGCUUAUGCAAAACAAAAAAAGGUCAGGAUUGCGUCUGUCGUCGUCACUUCCGCUCGCGUUUUGGAAUUCAGAAUCACACGUUUUGGAUCAACAUCGUUGUGGAGCAUUGCAUUUCAGGAUUCAUCGUUCAUGAUUCUCGUUUGUGCGUUCUGAUUGGAGCAUCGCGUACUCAAUGAUUCGAGGGUUCAACAACAACUAACAAAUUGUGGAUUGAAUUGAAUACUCACCGGUUUCAACGCAGGGGCGAAAACAGGUAAUCAAGCAAGGCAUAACCCAAGCUAGUGGAAAUCAACAUGGUGAAGAUGAUGGAUGAAGAAAGAUGAAGAUGAACUUUUAGGAUUGUUAGAUGGUGUUGACUUUGGUCAAAUGUUGACCAAAAAAUCAACAUUUGACUAAAAGUCAACAAUUGACUAAAAGUCAACAAUUGACUAAAAGUCAACAUUACAAGAAUGUUCAAUUUUGUAAACAUGCUUAUGGACAGUGUACAUUGUGAUUUGAAUGAAAUAUAAUGAAUGGUGAAAAGUUAACUUAUUAAA